GACAUUUGUAUAAAUAUUCCUACACUGUACUUUUUUUCUGACAUUUGUAUAAAAUUAAAAAAAAAAUGCAUGUCUGGUACUUUUUAAAUGAAUUUCAUAAAUAAUUUGUAUUUUAAAUUGAGAAUUUCUCCAGUUUCCACCAUUGUAAAAAUAAUGUGAGAUGCCUUGGAACAUUCUGGUGACUAAUAAUGAUGUACAAUGGAAAUGACAUUUCAUUACUUAGAUAAAAUGGAUUCAGUGGACUGAUUAGCAUAAAUAACUAUGAUGGAAAACUUUUGAAGGCAGGCAGGAUAGCAGCUCUUGAAGGAAGAUGGUCAAAUAAAUCUUCAACCAAGUCUCAGGCUUUACCAAGAAAUUAAGAAGGUUCUUCUGCGAUAUGUGUUCAUUGUGUGGGAAUAAGACUUGGUGGUCUAAUACAACUAAUACGAAGGUUAGCAUCACAGCUUGUCUGUAAGGAUUGAAGCUGGGAGUGGGCAUUAGAGCUGACUUUUAUGGUAACUGUGACUGCUUAAAAGGGCUAUGUGAUUUUACUGUAACAGCAUAGAAUGUAAUUCAGACUAUUUUUUAUAUGUUUGAGAAAAUGUAUAUAAUUUUUACCAUAUAAAGAAAAAAAAUAUGUACAGGUUCUCCAUUUUCAAAAAGAUUGGAAGUUGUUGGUUGAUAAAUCUUUGAAAUUUAAAAAAAUACUAUUUUUUGUUCAUACUUAUAUCUGGAGAAAACACUUCAAGUAGUUUAAGAAUGGAGAAUCUAAAAAAAAAAAGAAAAAAUGUUCAAUUAUUGAAAGGUUUUUGUUCAGCCUUCGACUUUAGUCGAAAAAGAGAGACAUAGGAAACCUACAUUCUGUUAUUGGCUUGGUAUGCCGGCGUCCACAAAGGAAGGGUCCUGAUCCCGAAACCCAUGAUGCUUAAAAACAUGGUCCUGAGGUCCCAAAAUUGGAAAAAAAUAAUUCUUGGAUGCUGAAAGGGUCAAUCCCGAAAUCCUUAGCUUAAAAACAGCCGAUCCUGUAGUCCUGAUAAAGAUUCUAUCCCAACUCAAAUAUAUUUAGUAAUUUACUUGCAUAAGCUUGACUUAAGCUUUUUCCUCAUUUUUGUUGAGUCUGCAUUUAACAGCAAAAGUAGGAGAGACACUGGGUUCCGUGGAACCCUUACAAAUUUAUCAAGAUUCAAAAUAUUUAAACAUUUUUUUUCUGGUGUAAUUUGAAAAGUCCCUCCUUCCCCUGGACAACCAAUUAUUUAUUGCUUAAAUUAUUUGGAGGAAUUUACUUUAAAAGGUUAAAAAAAAAUUGAUAGUAGUUAAUACUGUAUGCAGAGUGUGUGAUAUAUUUUUCUGGUUCGUCAAGGUCUAUAAAUGCAUUUUUUUCAAUUUUUAGAUCCCACAAACAUAAGCUAAAGGAACCUGCAAAAUAAGAUUUUUCUUUGUUUAAUUUGUAAUAAUAUGUUAAAGAGGAAAAUGUGCCCUUCUUUGUCUUCCAUCCAAAACUCCAAUUACAUAUAGUAAUCUGUAAAGUGGAUCCAGGGAUCAUGUAUGCAGGGUAGGGUUUCGAUAAAACACAGAGUUAAAUGUUUUAUAAGAACAAGACUUUAGGGAUUGCUACAGUGAUUUAAUAAGACAUAUUUUGGUUUGUAUGGCACCUUCAUCAGGAUUGAAAAUACAGGAGAGUACAGAAUUCUGUAGUGAUAAUUUAUAUUUCACAAUGUCACCACCAGAACAAAUUAUAAAUAGGGUGUGAAGGUAGUUGUGAAAAUUAACUAAUCAAGAAUGUUAAAUAAAAUAUGUUUUUGUAAAUUUGGACGACAUUUGACUUGCAAUUAUGUACUAUUUACUACACUGGAUGUAGUACAGACUUGCUUAACGUACCAUUUCAACACUGAAAGAAGUACGUUUGUCUGAGCGAAGCCAAUUGGAAGCAUGUACCUCUUAGUGAAGCUAAUUGGGAGUACAUACCCUCUGUCUUGUUGCGAAGCUGAUUGGAAGCAGUACAUAUACACCUCUGUCUGCUUAACCUAAUUAGAAGCAGUACCCUUGGCAGAGUGGUCCCAAUUAGAGGCAGUAACUCUGAGCGAAGCCAAUUGGAAGCAUGUACCUCUGCAAAAUUUGAUCAAAUACUAUUCAACAAAUUUUAUUUAACAUUCUUUUAAAGUUUACUUUCAUAUCUUCUUUUAUUUUUUUAUUUAUUAUUAUUCCCCCUGUUGACAUUAAUUAUUAAGUGCAAAUUAUCACUUCACCAUUUUGUACUCUUUUGUCACUAAGUUUUUAUUCUGAUGAAAGUGCUGUAGAAAUUAAAACAUGCCAAUAUAGUUUAAUUACUCCAACAAUCCCUGAAGUAUUAUUAUAAGAAUUAUCAUAGAUGAAUCUUUUAUAGACCAUUG